AUUGAACGCUGGCGGCAUGCCUUACACAUGCAAGUCGAACGGCAGCACGGGUGCUUGCACCUGGUGGCGAGUGGCGAACGGGUGAGUAAUACAUCGGAACAUGUCCUGUAGUGGGGGAUAGCCCGGCGAAAGCCGGAUUAAUACCGCAUACGAUCUACGGAUGAAAGCGGGGGACCUUCGGGCCUCGCGCUAUAGGGUUGGCCGAUAGCUGAUUAGCUAGUUGGUGGGGUAAAGGCCUACCAAGGCGACGAUCAGUAGCUGGUCUGAGAGGACGACCAUCCACACUGGGACUGAGGCACGGCCCAGACUCCUACGGGAGGCAGCAGUGGGGAAUUUUGGACAAUGGGCGAAAGCCUGAUCCAGCAAUGCCGCGUGUGUGAAGAAGGCCUUCGGGUUGUAAAGCACUUUUGUCCGGAAAGAAAUCCUUGGCUCUAAUACAGUCGGGGGAUGACGGUACCGGAAGAAUAAGCACCGGCUAACUACGUG
rnacentral:rRNA from 1 species